rnacentral:rRNA from 1 species
UGAGGAAUGUUGGGCAAUGCCCGCAAGGGUGACCCAGCAACGCCGCGUGGAGGAUGAAUGUCGUAAGAUUGUAAACUCCUGUUAGAGGGGAAGAAUAGUACCGGUUGGACCGGUAUAUGACUGUACCCUCAGAGAAAGCCCCGGCUAACUACGUGCCAGCAGCCGCGGUAAUACGUAGGGGGCAAGCGUUGUCCGGAUUUACUGGGUGUAAAGGGCGCGCAGGCGGGAUAAAAAGUCAGUGGUGAAAUCCUACAGCUUAACUGUAGAACUGCCUUUGAUACUUUUAUGCUUGAGUUCGGGAGAGAGAGACGGAAUUCCAGGUGUAGUGGUGAAAUACGUAGAUAUCGGGAAGAACACCAGUUGCGAAGGCGGUCUCUUGGUCCGACACUGACGCUGAGGCGCGAAAGCGUGGGGAGCAAACA